rnacentral:rRNA from 1 species
AUGCCAUCAUUUUUUUAUUAUGUGUUAAAUUUGUCAACAAUUUUAGUACAUUCAAUUACUCUUCCUGUGCAUCAGCCAUUCGACACGGUCAUGGAAAAAUCUGGAGUGGAAACAAGGUCUUCAGAGCAGACAAUGCUAUCUGAUGAAGCGCAUGUCUUGUUGGUUACCGAUAGCUCCUCAGAGGAGGAUUCAGAGAAAGAUGACCAGUCAUAUUUCCCCCCUGAGGUGCAUGCCCUAACUUGGCAGGGUUAUGUUACUCAUAUCGUGUGUAUGGUAUCUUGCAUUGCUAUGUCAUUUGCGUAG